rnacentral:rRNA from 1 species
UACGGAGGGUGCAAGCGUUAUCCGGAUUCACUGGGUUUAAAGGGUGUGUAGGCGGGCUGUUAAGUCAGUGGUGAAAUCUCCGGGCUCAACCCGGAAACUGCCAUUGAUACUAAUAGUCUUGAAUUCUGUUGAGGUGGGCGGAAUAUGUCAUGUAGCGGUGAAAUGCUUAGAUAUGACAUAGAACACCGAUUGCGAAGGCAGCUCACUAAGCAGAUAUUGACGCUGAGGCACGAAAGCGUGGGGAUCAAACAGG